rnacentral:rRNA from 1 species
UACGUAGGGUGCGAGCGUUAAUCGGAAUUACUGGGCGUAAAGUGUGCGUAGGCGGCUUUGUAAGUUAGAGGUGAAAGCCCGGAGCUCAACUCCGGAAUUGCCUUUAAGACUGCAUCGCUAGAAUCAUGGAGAGGUGAGUGGAAUUCCGAGUGUAGAGGUGAAAUUCGUAGAUAUUACAAGGAACACCAAUGGCGAAGGCAGCUUGCUGGGCUACUCCUGACACUGAGGUACGAAAGCGUGGGGAGCGAACAGG